AUGAAUCAGUGUGAGGACAGAGAGGAGGGAGUCCCUCCCUCUAAAAGCACUCUGUGUGAGGAACAUGACACAAGGACCAAAGCUCAGAGGAUCCAUCAGAGACCAGACUGUCCUGAACCUGAACCCAGCUGUGUGUCCAUGAAGAGUGACCUCUCUAUGGAUCGUUAUAUAGACUUCAAAGAUGGCCGCCACUCUGUUGAUCAAAGGUGAGGAUUUUCGAACUGAUGAUGAAAAUAAAAUUAUGUGUUUUCAUCAGACUCUCAGUUGUGAAAUCUCUUUUAAUGGAUGGUGAUGGUAUGUGUCUGAUCAGCUCAAUUUACAACAGCCUCUUAAAGUGAACAAAUAGUUGCAGCAGUUUAUAGAAACUCACUGUCUGUUCGUCUUUUUAUCCUAAUUAGACCGAUAUGGUCACUCGACAGCAUAAUUUCCCCACCUAUACUGCACACUGCACUGAAUACAACUUUAAUAAAUACACUGAAACAUUUCUAAAUCAAACACUGACUUUAUAGAAAUCCUAACCAAGAACUCCCUGGAUACAAAUACACUGUUUACAGUAGGUGUAUUCAGUCACUGGCAGGUUUUGUCUCAGUGUGUUGUGGGUGCAGUGCAGAAUUUAUCCUGUUUUUCUAUCAGAAGGAAAAAACCUGAACCCAGCUGUGUGUCCAUGAAGAGUGACCGCUCUAAGGGUUGUCCUGUAUUCUUCAAAGAUGGCCGCCACUCUAUUGAUCAAAGGUGAGGAUUUCAAACUGAUGAUGAAACUAAAAGUCUUUUCAUCAGACUCUCAGUUGUGAAAUGGACAGUGAUGGUUUGUGUCUGAUCAGCUCAAUUUACAACAGCCUCAGUUUCAAAGUGAACAAAUAGUUGCAGCAGUUUAUAGAAACUCACUACUCUGACACCAUGUUAAUCAAUUAAAUUCAAUUUUACUUGUAUAGCGCCGAUUCAUAACAAAAGUUAUCUCAGGAAACUUUUGAAAUAGAGCAGGUCUAGACCGUACUCCUUAUGAAACUAUUUACA
rnacentral:lncRNA from 1 species